rnacentral:rRNA from 1 species
AAACCAGGUGAUCUACCCUUGGUCAGGUUGAAGUUCAGGUAACACUGAAUGGAGGACCGAACCGACUUACGUUGAAAAGUGAGCGGAUGAACUGAGGGUAGCGGAGAAAUUCCAAUCGAACCUGGAGAUAGCUGGUUCUCUCCGAAAUAGCUUUAGGGCUAGCCUCAAGUGAUGAUUAUUGGAGGUAGAGCACUGUUUGGACGAGGGGCCCCUCUCGGGUUACCGAAUUCAGACAAACUCCGAAUGCCAAUUAAUUUAACUUGGGAGUCAGAACAUGGGUGAUAAGGUCCGUGUUCGAAAGGGAAACAGCCCAGACCACCAGCUAAGGUCCCAAAAUAUAUGUUAAGUGGAAAAGGAUGUGGCGUUGCCCAGACAACUAGGAUGUUGGCUUAGAAGCAGCCAUCAUUUAAAGAGUGCGUAAUAGCUCACUAGUCGAGUGACACUGCGCCGAAAAUGUACCGGGGCUAAACAUAUUACCGAAGCUGUGGAUUGUCCUUUGGACAAUGGUAGGAGAGCGUUCUAAGGGCGUUGAAGCAUGAUCGUAAGGACAUGUGGAGCGCUUAGAAGUGAGAAUGCCGGUGUGAGUAGCGAAAGACGGGUGAGAAUCCCGUCCACCGAUUGACUAAGGUUUCCAGAGGAAGGCUCGUCCGCUCUGGGUUAGUCGGGUCCUAAGCUGAGGCCGACAGGCGUAGGCGAUGGAUAACAGGUUGAUAUUCCUGUACCACCUAUAAUCGUUUUAAUCGAUGGGGGGACGCAGUAGGAUAGGCGAAGCGUGCGAUUGGAUUGCA